rnacentral:rRNA from 1 species
AUUUAUGGCCUUGCUACCCUGAACAAGCCCGAUCCUGUCUGAUCUUGGAAGCUAAGCAGGGUUGAGCCUGGUUAGUACUUGAAUUGGAGACCACCUAGGAAGGAAGG